rnacentral:rRNA from 1 species
GAUGAACGCUGGCGGCGUGCUUAACACAUGCAAGUCGAACGGUGAAGGCGGAGCUUGCUCUGCUGGAUCAGUGGCGAACGGGUGAGUAACACGUGAGCAAUCUGCCCCUGACUGUGGGAUAAGCCCUGGAAACGGCGGCUAAUACUGGAUACGAGCUGCGAAGGCAUCUGCAGCAGCUGGAAAUGACUUCGGUAAGGGAUGAGCUCGCGGCCUAUCAGCUUGUUGGUGAGGUAACGGCUCACCAAGGCUUCGAGGGGUAGCCGGCCUGAGAGCGUGACCGGCCACCCGCCGCCUGGGGCACGGCCCAGGCGCGUACGGGAGGCAGCAGUGGGAAGUCUUGCGCAAUCGGCGCAAGCCUGAUGCAGCCACUCCGCGUGCGGGAAAACGGGCUUCGGGUUGUAAACCUCUUUUCGCGGGGACGAAGCGAGAGUGACGGUACCUGCCGAGAAAGCGCCGGCUAACUACGUG